CCUACGGGAGGCAGCAGUGAGGAAUCUUGCGCAAUGGGGGCAACCCUGACGCAGCAACGCCGCGUGAGUGAUGAAGGCCUUCGGGUCGUAAAGCUCUGUCAGGCGGAAAGAAUGUUUCCAGGGUGAACAAUCCUGGAGAUUGACGGUACCGCCAGAGGAAGCACCGGCUAACUCCGUGCCAGCAGCCGCGGUAAUACGGAGGGUGCUAGCGUUGUUCGGAAUUAUUGGGCGUAAAGAGCGUGUAGGCGGCCUCGUAAGUCAGAUGUGAAAGCCCUUGGCUUAACCAAGGAAGUGCAUUUGAAACUGCCUGGCUUGAGUACGGGAGGGGAAAGCGGAAUUCCCGGUGUAGAGGUGAAAUUCGUAGAUAUCGGGAGGAACACCGGUGGCGAAGGCGGCUUUCUGGACCGAUACUGACGCUGAGACGCGAAAGCGUGGGGAGCAAACAGGAUUAGAUACCCUGGUAGUCCACGCCGUAAACUUUGGGCACUAGGUGUUGCGGGUAUUGACCCCUGCAGUGCCGAAGCUAACGCAUUAAGUGCCCCGCCUGGGGAGUACGGUCGCAAGACUAAAACUUAAAGGAAUUGACGG
rnacentral:rRNA from 1 species